CGGAGGAAAAGAAACCAACAGGGAUUGCCUCAGUAACGGCGAGUGAAGCGGCAACAGCUCAAAUUUGAAAGCUGGCCCCCCCCGGGGGUCCGCGUUGUAAUUUGUAGAGGAUGAUUCGGCGAGGGCUCCCGCCUAAGUCCCCUGGAACGGGGCGUCAUAGAGGGUGAGAAUCCCGUAUGCGGUGGGCUGCCUUAGCCAUGUGAAUCUCCUUCGACGAGUCGAGUUGUUUGGGAAUGCAGCUCUAAAUGGGAGGUAAAUUUCUUCUAAAGCUAAAUACCGGCCAGAGACCGAUAGCGCACAAGUAGAGUGAUCGAAAGAUGAAAAGCACUUUGGAAAGAGAGUUAAAAAGUACGUGAAAUUGUUGAAAGGGAAGCGCUUGCAGCCAGACUUGCCCGCAGUUGCUCAGCCGGUCUCCUGACCGGCGCACUCUUCUGCGGCCAGGCCAGCAUCAGUUCGGGCGGUCGGAUAAAGGCCCCGGGAACGUAGCUCCUCUCGGGGAGUGUUAUAGCCCGGGGUGGAAUGCGGCCAGCCUGGACUGAGGAUCUCGCUUCGGCUAGGAUGCUGGCGUAAUGGCUGUAAGCGGCCCGUCUUGAAACACGGACCAAGGAGUCUAACAUCUAUGCGAGUGUUUGGGUGUCAAACCCAUGCGCGUAAUGAAAGUGAACGGAGGUGGGAACCCUCGCGGGUGCACCAUCGACCGAUCCUGAUGUCUUCGGAUGGAUUUGAGUAAGAGCAUAGCUGUUGGGACCCGAAAGAUGGUGAACUAUGCCUGAAUAGGGUGAAGCCAGAGGAAACUCUGGUGGAGGCUCGCAGCGGUUCUGACGUGCAAAUCGAUCGUCAAAUUUGGGUAUAGGGG
rnacentral:rRNA from 1 species